GAAAGGCAACGGCGGCGGCGGCGGCGGGGAAAGAACUAGCAGAUCAAGACGGCGCCGACGAGAUCCUCCUCCGGCGACUGGUCCCCGGUUGAUCUUGAUGAAAACAUUUGGAAGGAUAUGAACAACGAAUGAUCCCACCAACUGCUUUU